CUGCGGCGGCGACGGCGAGCGCGCGCCUGGGUGAUGCGGCAACGACGGCAGCGAAGAUCCCGACCUCCUACGGCCGGCGGCGACGAUGCAGAUGCGGGCGCACAUGGGGAGCUCAAACUAUGCCGGCGGCCGCAAGAUCUGGUCGCCAACACGUCCCCGACCACGACGGGGAGCAUGAGCAGCUCGUCGGCCCAUGGUAGGAGCACGGGAUGGGGAGGGCAUCUUCUCUUCUCCCUUGUCUCCCCUUUCUGGACGGCUCGUGGGGAGCAUGUAGGGUACGACGUGGCUCUCCUCCCCUUUGUCCUCGGCUCUCCCCGCAUGAGUCAACCUCAUCCCUGCCUCCACCAUUGAUCUAUGCUUGCAGAGGCUUACGAAAAUGGAGACGAGCGGGUGGAUCUUCAAGAGUGUUGGUAUCUUCCUCUAAUUCUUGUUUGGUACGUGAUAGCCUUUGAUGGUAGAUCAGAUGUACUUUUGUUCCUUGAUUAGUUGAUGCACAGUAUGCAAGAACCUGCUUGAGAGAGAUUUUUUCUUAGAUCUCCUAUCAAGAGCCUGCUUUUAGGAACCUUGUUAGGCCACUAACUUUUCCAUGUAGCUCUCUUUUGUUUCCUCUGUGGAUCUAAAAUAGCAGGCUAUUAGUUGUAAUUUGGUGUUCUAAGAAUGAACAAUAUGGGGUAAGAUUAUGUUGUGAAAUCUGGUCCGUUCUAACAACUAUUGAUCUACUGGUGUAGAUUGUCACUUCUUUGUGUUGUUUUGUUUCAGGCAUGUUAUGGAAGAAGAAGAAGAAGUUGUACAUAUGUGUUCACUGUAUUGAAAUUGUCUCUUUGUGAUAUGCCAUUUGUUCUGCUCAUAUUGAGCUGAAACUGAGAUAGAUGAAAUACAACCUUGAAGUUGCAGGAUGGUCAAUGUGGUGUGGUGGGCAGCGUAAAGGAAUUUGUCGAGGUUGCCAAUAUGAUUGAGGUAGCGGAUGCGACUCGGCAGAACAAGAAUGUGUGUUAGCAGAUUAGAGAUCGCGCAGAUUGUCGUUAUGCCACGCUGUCAAAGCUUGUUCAUGGUGGUGAAGAGAAGGAACCCACAGAUUGAUUUAGCAUGCCAUGUGAUUGUGAGAGCAGAGUGCUUGUGUUCGUAUUGGAGAGGGAAAUUAUUUAUUUCCCAUUCGGCCAUAUCCAAUCCCCCCUGGCGAACCGCCGCUUGCGGAGUGUUCUCUGCGCAUCUUCUCUAGCGAGGGAAACAAGCUACUGCGGCUUCAGUUACUCAUGUAGCAUGCAGGAGCGCCUUCACUGGGUAUAUUGGGGAUCCUAAUGCGCUGAUGGUGCUGCUGAUAUGACCAAAUGAAGUGCUAAAAGCUUGUAUGGACAUUCUUAAUUUGAACAGGGUUUAUGCUAUUCAUCAAGCCAUACCAAGUUGAUUAUCUUUGUAUGCUCUACUUCUAUCUUUAUUUAUGUCACGGUUGUGUGAUAAUCUAGAUAGUUGUAUUUUCCCUUCAAAUAGUGUUAGAUGAUUGAGUAAUUAAGGGUGGAAGUUACUGUUGUUUUGCACAUUUCCUUGUGUUGUCAUCUGCCUAGCUGCUGGUUCUUUGACUUUUGCUUUUUUUCUUAGACCAAUUGAGGUAUAUCUGUAUUAUAUAGUCGUAGUUUCAGUUUCUUGAUUUAUAUUCUAUGGUCUGUUCAGAUUAUGACAUGUAUAAAUGUACAUUAAGGUCCGCUAAUUUGUUUGUUGGCAGACUUAUUCAUACUUACUCUAUUAUAGUUUCCUAAUUCAUCCAUAUUUCAGGAAUUUGGUAAGUAAACAAAAUAUUAAUGAAAUAGGAAAAUACAUAUGUGUCAAAUUCAGCUACGUUGCAUGUGCAUGAUAUAUUUGGUGAAAUAUAUGAGUAAGCUCCAAAAAAAUACGUGGGUUCCAAGUAUAGCACUUGUUUUUUGAGAGCUGAAAAAACUAGCGUAAAUACCUGGAGAGUGUUAUAAUCUAAAUAUCAGUGGAAAGAACAUAAUUAUUCGCAAGCUCUGAUUAGUGUUUGUCUUCUGGGUUGUUGCUUAUUUGAUUUAAAUAUCAGUGGAAACAACAUAAUUAUUAGCAACCUCUGAUUUGUGCUUGUCUUCUGGGUUGUUGCUUAUUUGGUUUAGGUUACAUAAUAGAGAACAAAUCAAAAUGGGAACAGCUUUAUGGACCAAAAAGGAAAGUAGGAAUCAUACACAAACGCACACCCUGCCAGGAGCCAUGCUUGGUAGCCAAACAUGUGAUCUGUAGGAAUAUCGUUCUUGCAGUUUCUGUAGUCCGAUCACGUGGUGUUUCGUCUCCUGUUAGUGCCGCUGGUUGUGUACAUCCUCUUAAUGAGGCAGUCUGUUCUCAGCUGAUAUGUAAUCAGCUCAUCUCUUAUGUCUGUAUCAUGUAGCGUUUUCCCCCCUAGGUUCAUUGUUCCAGGGAUUAAACAUUUGUUAGUUGUGUGUAAGAGAAUUCUUUAUUACCUCUAUGUCGUCUCUAUGUUAAUGUGCAUGUGCUCCUUUUUUUUGGUUGUUCCAAGUCACCCUCUUCAAAACAAUUUUUCUGCUAUGCUACUGACCACCCAAGACCUACACGAUCCCGGAUCGCCAGGUUCAUCGGCAUCAACCAGUAACCAGCUCCGAACCCUUCCUCGGGUACUUACUUAGGGUAUGCUGGUUGAUUCAUAUGGCGUUCUUACCGUGCCUAUCUAUUACCCGAUUCUCCCGUUAGUCCUCACGAUCUACGUCAGCUAUAUUAAGAACCAAAUACAGUUAUACUAGCUACACAUAUGUUUUUUGUUCUUACAGGUGUAGAACAGCCUACACAAAUAAUUUAGAUAAUUAUAAAGGUGCAGUUACCUCUCGGUGUCUGUCCAAAGUACGUUCAUACAUGAUAGACUUACAUAGCUUGCACAUAGCACAUGUACAUGCUCUGUUUCUUUUACCUGGAACCUACGAUACUAACAUCUUCAGACUUACUUGGAGUAUUUACACGAAUGUUUGCUCAUGUAGGAAAACCCAAGGAUAAUCAGAAUUCCUUUUAGUAUAUUACUGAAUAUAAUGCUAGAAAAGCUUGGCGUUUCAAAAGCUGAAUACCAUCUUCACUUAUGCAAAGAUAACAAGGUCCGUGUCACUGUUAUGUUUAACAUGGCUACGCUACCAAUGGAAGGUGCUUUUGUAUAUCUCUCGAUGUCUUUGAAUAGAGUCCGAAAGUUAUGAAAUAGCGGAAGAUUCUGCGUGUGUUCAAGCCAUAACAUAUGUUGAGGAAGCAACCAACACAAUCAUAAAGGAUUUAGGCUACAGCCGGCUGGUAGAAGCUAAAGAGGAAAACAAGAUCCUGUUACAUAAGCUAAAAAAGGC